GCCGGGUGUGGUGGUGCACACCUGUAAUCUCAGCUACUCAGGAGGCUGAGGCAGGAGAAUUGCUAGAACCCAGGAGGUGGAGGUUGCAGUGAGUCGAGAUCACACCACUACACUCCAGCCUGGGUGACAAAGUAAGACUCUGCCUCAA
ensembl:misc_RNA Metazoa_SRP Metazoan signal recognition particle RNA